AUUUUGGCCCACUGGACCUCACGGCUUUGUCCCUUGAACCCCUUCUUUAAGGCCCAAAAACACGCUAUCCAGGUUAGAAGGCUUGCCACUUAUAUAGCUCAUCACUUUCUGCUCUCUUUCUGAUAUGGGACUAAAUUCAUUCCUGCCCCCUUGCCAGCAAGCCAUGUCCUACCGAAGGAUCGCUCUCAGCUGGGUGCAGGAUGUUGCAGGCCCACCAGCUUCUGCCUAGUUCAUCCCUGAACCACAUCGUACUGAGGGAGGUCAGCUCUAGUACCAUAUGUAACACCCCUUCCUGGCCCAUAGAUAGUAUUAUCCGCUUUGGUCCACUAGACCUCACGGCUUUGUCCCUUGGAUUCCUUCUUUGAGGCCCAAAAAUGCGCUAUCCAGGUUAGAAGGUUUGCUACUUAUAUAGCCUAUCACUUUCCUCUCUCUUUCCGAUGUGGGACUCGGUUCAUUCCUGUCCCCUCACCAGCGAGCCAUGUCCUCCUAGAGGAUCACUCUCAACUGGGUGCGGGAUGUUACAGAU
rnacentral:misc_RNA from 1 species